rnacentral:rRNA from 1 species
AGCGGCAGACGGGUGAGUAACACGUAGAUAACCUGCCCUCAAGACGGGGACAACCGGUGGAAACAGCGGCUAAUACCCGAUAUGCUCACAGGAUCGGGAGAUCGAGUGAGGAAAGCGCCCCUUCGGGGGAGAGUGUUUGAGGAGGGAUCUGCGGCCCAUCAGCUAGUUGGUGAGGUAACGGCUCACCAAGGCGAAGACGGGUAGGGGGUGUGAGAGCAUGGCCCCCCACAAUGGGACUGAGACACGGCCCAUACUCCUACGGGAGGCAGCAGCGGGGAAUAUUGCGCAAUGGACGGAAGUCAGACGCAGCGACGCCGCGUGGGUGAGGAAGGCCUUCGGGUUGUAAAGCCCUUUUCAGGGGAGCGAGAAAGGACGGUACCCUUGGAAUAAGCGUCGGCUAACUACGUGCCAGCAGCCGCGGUAAGACGUAGGACGCAAGCGUUAUCCGGAUUUACUGGGCGUAAAGCGCCUGUAGGCGGUCAAGUAUGUCGGAUGUGAAAGCCCCGUGCUCAACGCGGGGAAGCCAUUCGAUACUGCGUGACUAGAGAACGGCAGAGGGAAACGGAAUUUCUGGUGUAGCGGUAAAAUGCGCAGAGAUCAGAAAGAACACCGAUGGCGAAGGCAGUUUCCUAGGCCGCAUCUGACGCUGAGAGGCGAAAGCUAGGGGAGCAAACAGGAUUAGAGACCCUGGUAGUCCUAGCUGUAAACGAUGGAUGCUAGGUGUGGGCCGGAAAGGUCCGUGCCGUAGUUAACGCGAUAAGCAUCCCGCCUGGGGAGUACGGCCGCAAGGCUAAAACUCAAACGAAUUGGACGGGGAACCCGCAACAAGCAGCGGAAGCGUUGUGGGUUUUAAUUCGAUGCUACACGCAGAACCUUACCUUGGGCUUGACAUGUUAGGUGGUAGUGAAGUGAAAGCGGAAGCGACCCUUCGGGGAGCCUACACAGUGUGCAUGGCUGUCGUCAGCUCGUGCCGUGAGUGUCGGUUAAGUCCGUACGAGCGCACCUUGUCUUAGUUACAAGUGUUAAGGAGACUGCCGUGACAAACCGGAGGAAG